GACACUGAUGGAAGGUGGGCACGGAAUAGCAUUGUUCCCUGCCAGCAUCAAGAAGCAGCCACUAAACAGAGGGAAGCACAAACGCUGGUGACCAAGGGCGAGGUCUGGAGCUAAUAACACACUGUAAAUAGCAGCCCGCCCCCCAGGAUGAUAUUUUCUGUUCCCAGGUUUGGCUUGAUUUCCUAAUUUUACAAGCUAACUAUGAAGAAUUUGGCAGGGGGGAGGGGGAGUGGAGAAAAUUAAAUACUCAUUUAAAUUCUUUCCUAGCUGUCGAGUGAUGGAGGUUUCCAGCUGGCUGGACCUCAGAGAUCGCUGCGUUCAACAUCCUGUCUCCACAGAGGAGACACAAGGACACUGAGAUAGGCUGUGGCUUCCCCGAGGUCACACGGCUGGGCAGGGUCCUGGGUCCGGUCCAGGGAUAUUUCCUCGCCUCCUUUAAGUGUAAUCUCUUUGUGUGCUACUGUCCAAAUUGUUUAUUCUGCAAGUGUUUUACUCUGCAAAGGCUGCUUUGGACCCGUGGACCGACAGGGAUGCUGGCAGAGAGACCGGCAGGGGGAAGCGUGCUUCUACACAGUGGUGAUGGGAGGUCACCCUGCAGCCAGGGGUACUCGGGGAGAGUUCAGUGGCAGAGGACAGACAGAGGCUUCACACUGGAGAUUUUGAAGAAGGUGAUGGGCAAUUUGGCAUUCUGCACCUUUGGGUCACAAAGCAGUGUGAUCUCUUCUGAAAAGUUCUUUUUCCAACCUUGUGGAAAUCUCUGCAGGAAAAUGGUGCUUGGCUCCCGUUAAUUCCACUCCCCUGGUUUGCAACAAAGGUGAGGGGAUGAUAGGAAGUGAGGGGAGAUGAAGAGUAGCAGGGUGGGGAGAUAAUGGGAGAGGGGGAGGUGAUGGGGAGUGGACAGAGAUAAUGGGGAGGGAAGAAGGUGAUGGAGAGGGAAGGAGAUAAUGGGGAGAGAGGGAGGAGAUGAAGAGGGAGGGAGGUGAUGGGGAGGGAGGAGAGGAUGAUGGGGAGAGAGGGAGGAGACGAAGAGGGAGGGAGGUGAUGGGGAGGGAGGGGAGGAUGAUGGGGAGAGAGGGAGGAGAUGAAGAGGGAGGAGAUGAAGAGGGAGGGAGGGGAUGGGGAGGGAGGGGAGGAUGAUGGGGAGAGAGGGAGCCUGGCUAUUGUGCUGUGACUCUGCAGAAACAACAGAGUUAAUCAAGCUGAAGUUUUGGGGUUUCAGGAGACGCUGGCUCACAAACUAAGGAGGGAAAGGGGGACCAUCAGGGCUUACCAAGCCGAACUGCCACUCCAGGGUAAGUCAGCCCAGGGUCCCCUUAAAGGGGAAUGUGGGUAGGCUGCUUUGAUGGGAUUGUGGGCAGGAAGUAAUAAUUUGAGGGAGGAAAGAGAAGACACCCUAGGUACCGUCUUUAAGGCUGUGAGAUCACGGGCUCGUAGACCUCAGAGCUGAGUCACCUCCGAGGCCAUCUGCCCAUUCACGUAUCCUGUGCAAGACUCUACUCAGUCAGCCUUCUUUGAAGAAUUCCAUGUACCCACGUACAAGAGAGAGCCUCUCCUUUCGGAUUAUCCCUUCUAUUUGGGGGGGCUCUAAUUGUUAAAACGUUCAUGGUUAUAUGGUAUCAGAAUGGGCCCCACUGUAUCUACAAGCCGUUAUUCUAAUCCUUCCAUAUGAUCCUCGGAAGUCUGAUGAUUACACCUUUGUAACACAUUUGAGAGUCUAUGCCUGCUUGGGGUGGGGGAGGACGGUGGAGGGGGAGCUCCCACACCAUCCAGUUGUAUAACCUUGGCAAU
rnacentral:lncRNA from 1 species